rnacentral:rRNA from 1 species
GGAUCAUUAUCGUGCAACAGAGGCGCGAGGGCUGUCGCUGACUCGAAAAGGUCGUGCACGCCCGAGCGCUCUCACGCAUCCAUUUCACCCUUUUGUGCACCACCGCGUGGGUCGCCCUCCCUCCGAGGGUGGGCGGCUUGCGUUUUUACACAAACCCCCACGUAACGUAGCGUUAGAAUGUUUUACCUUUUGCGGUGACACGCAAUCAAUACAACUUUCAACAACGGAUCUCUUGGCUCUCGCAUCGAUGAAGAACGCAGCGAAAUGCGAUACGUAAUGUGAAUUGCAGAAUUCAGUGAAUCAUCGAAUCUUUGAACGCACCUUGCGCCUCUUGGUAUUCCGAGGGGCACACCCGUUUGAGUGUCGUGACAUCCUCAACCUUCUCGAUCUUUGCGGUCGGGGAAGGCUUGGACUUUGGGGGUUUAUGCUGGCCUCUCUCGAAGCCAGCUCCCCUUAAAUGGAUUAGUGGGGUUCGCUUUGCCGAUCCUCGACGUUGAUAAGAUGUUUCUACGUCUUGGGUUGAGCACUGUCUUUCGGGAACCUGCUUCUAACCGUCUCGCGAGAGACGACGCGUUUUGGACCUUGACCUCAAAUCGGGUGAGACUACCCGCUGAACUUAAGCAUAUCAAUAAGCGGAGGAAAAGAAACUAACAAGGAUUCCCCUAGUAACUGCGAGUGAAGCGGGAAAAGCUCAAAUUUAAAAUCUGGUGGUCUCUGGCCACCCGAGU